rnacentral:rRNA from 1 species
AUGGCCGAAGCAUGGACUCUUUCAAAUAUUACUACUAUGCAGAAUACGGGUGUCGAGUUGGUGCUGCAAGUUCUUGCUUCUCUGCCAGAUAUUGAGCGCUCGAUGCUUCUCAUGAUGCUAUGGAGGGCGUGGUACAUACGAAAUGAUAUUGUCCAUAAUAAAUCACCGCCACUCAUGGAGGCUUCUCGAAGGUUCUUGAUGAGCUACCUGGAUUAUCUAAUUGGUAAUAAAACUGAUCUGGGUGCUGAUCCUAGCAAAGGGAAGGCAAUCAUCACAUAUUCUCCAGUUCGGGCACAUGCGAGUAUGGUCGUAGCAUAUCCCAAGUGGUAUGCUCGUAAGCCCGGUUAG